GUAAGUAUUCUUCCUCUCCUUCGGCCCUCAACAUAGGGCACCAGCAGGCAGCUCCACCACAAACGCAUCAUGAGGGCACCUUCACCACCAACGUCGACGCAUAACAGCCCCACAGCAGAGCAGCACCAAUGAAGAAACCAACUACGGCCACCACCACCUCUUCCAAACGCAUCCACAAUCAUAUCUGAACCAGCAGAAUCGAUUGUCAUGGGGGAGAAUGGUUCUCACCUCCCAUUCUCGCACAGGCACAGUGUAACAAGGGCCAUUUUCUAAUUUUACUCUUCAUCCCCUCAAAUCUUCUCCAUUAAGAGAGGAUCAUUCUCGCCUGCAAUUUCCCCAAAUCACUUCUCACUCCCCCAAACAUUAUACCUUCCUUCUGCAUCUCCUCUCUGUGCUCACGCGAUGUCCAAGAAGAACCUCUGCAAGCCCUUUUAUUUUCUUUUGCGGCGCUCUUUAACUUCAUUUCCUCAGCGCUUCACUUCCAAUUUUCCUCCUCACAUUAAACUCUCUCUUCUUCAUCAUGCAUCACCUCACCAUCCUCCUCCCCGCGCUCACACCUUCGAUUUCAACUGUUCUCCCGGGUUUUCCUCGAAAAGUUUAUGCUCUAAAUCUGCCGUGGAAAUCCAAAGUGGGUGCUGGAAUUGCCAUGCUGCCCCUCAUUCCGCACCUUUCCUCGUAUGCGACUCGUGUCGGUGCAUUCAACCCGUCGAUUGUUCCACUGACUAUUUUGAGAUAUUUGGGGUGGAGAGGAAGUAUGAUCAAGAAGGUGAGAAUUUGGAGUUCAAGUACAAAGAGUGGCAAAAGAAGCUGCAUCCUGAUUUAGUUCAUUCAAAAUCUCAGAAAGAAAGAGAUUUUGCUGCUGAACAAUCUGCAAGGGUUAUUGAUGCGUACCGUACACUUAGCAAGCCUUUGUCAAGAGGAAUUUACUUGCUGAAGCUUAAUGGAGUAGAAAUCGAUGAAGAGCAGACAAUAUCAGAUCCAGAACUACUGGCAGAGAUUCUUGAAAUCAGGGAAGCAGUUGAAGAAGCUACAAAUGGGGACGCUUUGAAUGGCAUUCUCUCCCAGAUGCAGGAGAAGCUGCAAAAUUGCUCUAAUACCUUAGGUCAUGCUUUUCAAAACCAGAAUUUUGAGGAAGCAAAAUUGGCAAUCAGGAGAAUGACUUACUAUAGUCGUGUAAUUGAUGAAGUCAUAAAGAAGCUUUGAUAUAGGUAUAUCAACGUUUUCUUUUGCUUGAUUCAUUGGGAUACACUUUGUAGAAGAUGAAUGAUAUUUGAAAGGAAUAAUUGUUACGUGGGAUAUAAUGCUUGUGCCUACCAAAAGUUGGUAAAUUGAAAAGAAAUGAUAAUGGCCAUCAUCUCAUCCAUAAUGUCUGUUUUAAUGCAAAUUGAGUGAAAAAGAGCUGAAAGUGGGAGUUAAAAGCAAUUGUUAUUGCUUAAGACAUACUCAACACAAAUUCCCCUUUACAUACUAGAGUUCAUAAGAUGAGGCUGAUCAGGAAAUUUAAAGGCUACUAUUUCUCACCUGUUACACUCCUAUCACGCAAGAGAAAGAGUUGAAUAACCCAUUGCCAGUCCUUCCGCAUCUGUUUUUCUGCUAAGUUUGUGGCCUUAACCCUUUGUCAUUUUGUUUCUAUUUCACUUCUCUUAUAAUAUGUCUGAAAAGUCUUCCGGUGCAACUUUUGUUUGAAUUUAUAAAACUGGAAAUCGUCUCACCAUAUAUUCACUUUUGACAAAAGGAUGUUAUUAUCUUCAUUUUCUACCCAAAGUAUGCACACUCAAGCACAGGUCUGCAUGACUAUUUUAGUGAAAAUGAUUCUAUCAGCUAAUUCACUUAUGUUAAACUCGGUAUUUACAAGGUCCAAAUCAAAGAACAAGACUAUAAUUCUUAGAUAGUCAUGAACAUGAAUCUGUGUAAAAUGCUUGGAAUUUUGUGUGUGCGGUUCAAAUGGAAUUGAUGUCAUGAAGUGUUCUUUAGUUUUCUUUAGUCAUUUAAGACUUGCUUUGGUAGUUUCUUUACUGGUAUUCUUUCUGUUUUAGUUCAGUUCUUACUUUUAGCUUGUUUAGCCUAGUUUUAGAGUGUUUUUGUAGGUUGAGUAGUGAAAUUUUGAGUUUAUUGUAUAAUUUAAUUUUGAGUUGAUUUCUAGCUUUCUUUAGUCAUUUUAAAGUUGCUUGAAUACAUUUUACCUCUGUUUUUACUAAUUUUUCCAGAUUUGCACAUUUCUCAUUUUGCUAGCUUAGCUCUUAAUUUGUAGAUGAUAGAUAGAGUGUCUAAUUUGAGUGGAUAAUUUUUAGUCAUGUUUGUACAGUUCCAUACAUUGAAUUGAGUGAUUUUUACAUGAUGAAUCAUUUGCAAAGAACAGUUUUGACAAAAGUGAACCUUGAGAGAUUUGAACUUGAGUUUUUCUUGUGUGUGCAUUCAUGAAAAUGACAUUCUACGCUUUGCAUUAUUUUUCUUCAUAACUGAUCAUUUGAUGUGCAUUCUUAAUGUGAUCUAGGCCCUCCUUGAAUUAAGGCACUUGCCAAAUAUAGUCUACCUUGGAAAAUUUUCCCUAGCACCUAUUUUUGAGCCUGUUUUAGCCUUUUAUUCAGAUUUUUAAGUCCAUUGUCAGCCUUGGACCUGUAAAACCAGAUUAUACCCUGUCCUAGAGCUGUGAGGUAAAGUAGGCUGUGUGUUAUCGGACAUUGUUGAGUUCAAGUGUGGGGGUAUCAUUGAAAAAGAGGCAUGUGACUGAGUUGAUGACUGAAACAGUUUGUGAAUCAUUGAAAAAUGAGAGAAAAAGCUGGAACAAAAUGAGAAAAUUCUGGUGAAGAAAAAUAAGAUGGGUAUAGUGUUUCAAAAGCAUCCCCAGGUCAAACAGACACAACAGCUGUAGACAGGCAACCAGAAAAGGUUGGCCUUAAAAUGGUCAGGAAAGAUGAGGAGAGCAUUCAAGAUCUGUCUUCAUCUUUUAAGAGUGUUAAAUUAAGUACCUCAGAAAAAGAGAAGGAAGUAUCCAAAUCAUAUGAAGCAGUGGUCAAAUCCUCUUCCAAUCUAGCUAUUAAAAGGAAAGAUGCACAUUCUGUUUCCAUAUCAGAAAGACCAUAUGAUGAGGAAAACAAUAAUUCCACAAGGAAAUAAUUGCAAUGUGAAGGGGAGACAAGUAGAGUUACUGCUAAUGGUGGUGCUUCCACUUCCAAUUUUGAUCGUGACAAUGUUAAAGAGAAAUUCCAGGUAGAAAAAGUGGGUAGAUCGUGUGAGACUAAACUCAAAUCUCCCUUAAAUCUGCUGGUGAAAAGAACCUAGCCGUACUGUUACUUGGGCGGAUAAGAAAAUCAAUGGUGCUGGGAAUAAUGAUCUUUGUGAGGUUGAAGAAUUUGGAGAUAUUAGAAAAGAAUAUGAAUCACGAGGUAACGUAGAUAUUGCUGAUGAUGAGGAUAUGCCACGUCAAGCAUCAGCAGAAGCUUGUACAAUUGCAAUUAAGCCAAGCAUCAGAAGCAGUUGCAUCUGGAGACUCAGAUGUCACUGAUGCUGUUUCUGAAGCUGGAAUUAUUAUAUUGCCUCUGCCACAUUAUGCUGUAGAGGAAGGUACUAUGGAGAUGCUGCUAUGCUACAAAAUGAUUCGGUUACUCUGAAAUGGCCAAGAAAGCCUGGAAUUUCGGACAUUGAUUUCUUUGAAUCUGAUGACCCAUGGUUUGAUGCCCCACCAGAGGGUUUCAGUUUGAAUGCAAAAGCAAUUGGUCAGACAUGACAUGGUGAGGAAUAUAUGCUGAUGGAAGUUAUUGGCUUUCAGUAAGAAAAUAGGAUCUGAAGCAAAAGCUUUUGCUUUUAAGUAAAUAUAUUAUAUGCAGGUGUUCAUUGCUUUUAAGGAAUAAACCAAAGGAGAAAGUGUUGUGAUUUCUCCAAUCUUAGGUAUAUUACCAUAUGUGUUCAUAAUAUGUCCUUGAAAUUACUUUUUGGAGUCAAGGGAAAAAUAGAUAUCAAGAUGGCAACCUGAA